GUUGUCGUCAGCUCGUGUCGUGAGAUGUUGGGUUAAGUCCCGCAACGAGCGCAACCCUUAAGCUUAGUUGCCAUCAUUAAGUUGGGCACUCUAAGUUGACUGCCGGUGACAAACCGGAGGAAGGUGGGGAUGACGUCAAAUCAUCAUGCCCCUUAUGAUUUGGGCUACACACGUGCUACAAUGGACAAUACAAAGGGCAGCGAAACCGCGAGGUCAAGCAAAUCCCAUAAAGUUGUUCUCAG
rnacentral:rRNA from 1 species